AGAUUGAACGCUAGCGGGAUGCUUUACACAUGCAAGUCGAACGGCAGCGCGGACUUCGGUCUGGCGGCGAGUGGCGAACGGGUGAGUAAUAUAUCGGAACGUGCCCAGUAGCGGGGGGAUAACUACGCGAAAGCGUGGCUAAUACCGCAUACGCCCUACGGGGGAAAGGGGGGGAUCGCAAGACCUCUCACUAUUGGAGCGGCCGAUAUCAGAUUAGCUAGUUGGUGAGGUAAAGGCUCACCGAAGGCGAACGAACUCUG
rnacentral:rRNA from 1 species